CAUCCUCCCAACCCAAACACCCCCUCACCCCUUCCACCCACCCCCCACCCCCCAACCCCCCACCCCUCACCUCUACCUCGCAUGGUUGCCGCUGCCUGGGCUAGGUGCCUGCCUGGCCGGCGGGAAGUUGCUUGAACACACGCACUCGGCCUGUCGCGGGGGCGCGCCUGGCCCUGGGCGGGGCUGUAUGAUCCCCUUUUGUGGUAGAACAUAAUCAAAGUGGCUUCCAGCUGGUCCUCCACGAGGACGAGGAGUCUCCAGGCCUUAGACAUAAGAGUAUCAGUGCAGGUUGAAGAUCCGAAGUCUCGACUUCCGGGAAAACAUGGCGGACAGAUAACAGCAGCUACGGAGGCUCUCUAAAAGACUCGGCUCAGAAGUCAGGAGUGGUGCGGAGUAAGGAGACAUAAGCAGGUGGAGAUAUGCUCUGCUGACCCAGGAACGAACUAGGCUGAGAGAAACCAACUUAGAAUGCAGUCCUGGUGCUAGAACAGGAACAGAGGGGUCUCAGUGUGGAGGCUGGAGCCUGCGCCAUUGGAAGCCGUGAUUUGGGUUUCCCGCCGCUCAGCAGCUGCGUCUACAUCAGCUCGGCAGUGAGAGAGAUGCACAGAAGCUCUGAGAACGGGAAUCUGUGAACGGAGUUGAAAACAGGAUGGGCGGGGAGCCGUGCACUGACUUGUGGUGAGGUGAGUGAGAGAAACUGACACUCUACCACAGUUUGACUCCAGCGGAGGACAUUCUGGGACUGGGCAGACUUGUGGGAGCGGGGCGCUGCAGCGACUCCAGCCACGUAUCCCCCUCUCAAGCAGGAUUGGUGAGAAGUGCCUAGGCUACGUGAUGCUGCUGGCAGACCCAGUAGGCUAGCCCAACCCAGAUCCCAGAGCCUGAGGGUGGCCUGGAGGGGCAGGCCCCGCGUAGGCUGCCUGGUCUGGAACUUCCUGGUGUGCUGUGGUGGGCAGGAACACCUAGCUGGCGCAAUUCGAUCAGGCUGUGGCUGACAGGGAGGGAAGCUGGGCCUCCUAUAUAAGCUUGCAUAUAUAAGGAACAAAGAAUAUGGGAAGAGGCAGCAACAAGAAAGGCUCCUCGGCCCCUAAUCCUGAGAAACAGGUAAUAGCGGUCACCACACCAAUAGACAUAAAGCGCCAUCUAGAGAGCCUCAUAGAUUAGUUCAGGAAUGAAGUUAUUAAUGACCUGAAGCUAGAAGUAAGCAGAAUAGUUAGAGAAAUGCUAAGCACCACACAAGAAAAAACGGAUGGUGGAAUGGAAGAACAGAAAAAGAGGGGAGAAUUGUUUGAUGGAGAAAAUAGAGAAAGCAUAGAAUACGUGAAGCAGGUUCAAAGGGACUACCAGGAAACUAAAAACUCUAUCGAAAACUGGCAUAACAGCUUGAAAGAAACUAAGGACAGACUAUCUGAACUGGAGGGCAGAUUUAUAAUAUGGGAGAAUGAAAGGAAAAACUUCUUAAAAAUAACAAAGAAACAAACAGCAAUAAUACAAAGACAAGAAGAUGAUAAGAGGAUCCAUAACUUAAGAAUUAAGAACAUAAAAGAAGAAGUAGGGACACAAACAAGUGAACUACAAAAGCUACUCACAGAAAUAAUCCAGGAGAAUUUUCCUAAUUUAGCAAAAGGUAAAGAUACUCAGAUGUAUGAGGCACACAGGACCCCAGCCACCUACAACCCAAACAGAGCAACACCCAGGCAUAUAAUAAUAAAAAUUCCAGAAAUUCAAUACAAGAACAGAAUAUUAAAAGCUGUCAGAGACAAGAAACAGACCACUUACAAGGGAGCACCCAUCAGAAUUACAGCAGAUUUCUCUGCACAAACCAUCAAAUCAUGAAGAGCGUGGGGGGAAAUAAUUCAAGCUUUGAAAGAUAAUAAUCUCCAGCCAAGAUUGAGAUAUCCUGCACAACUGUCCCUGGAAAUUGAUGGAAAAACAAGGUGCUUCCAGGAUAAAGAGGAACUGGGGGAAUUUGCAACCACCAAUUCAACUCUACAGAGAGUAUUGCAGGAUAUUCUAAAAAAAGAAAAAUACAGAGAAUCCAGAAAUAGUGGGGGGGAGGCCACAAUGAAUGGAGCAGAGAACAAAAUGAAGAAGACAAACUGACAGCUACUGACAGAAAAAGAGCUCAACAGAAAUGAGGCAGAGAAGAUUGGAUGAUAGGAACUGCUAUUUUGGAGAAAAUGAUGUCUUAAUAUGUAAUACUGAUUUAGUAUCAUCUUGUUUUGAAGUCUCAUCAAUGAAAUCUCAUUUUGUUCUUCUGUCUCCAUUGGUCUAAACAGGUUGUAUCUUAUUGGAUUUUAUUAUGUAUGAUAGUAUAAGCAAAAACUUUUAAAGACAAGGAGAUUAUACAGAAACCAGUGUUCAUUUUCUGUUAGUUGAUUCUAAAUACCCUGUAAUGCUGUCAUUCUCUUAAAUGGUUUUACAUUGUUUUGAUAUAUUUAAUGCUACAGUAUACAAAGUUGUACUCAAGGAUUUCAAGGAAAGACACAAUAUGGUAACUACUUUUAUGUCAGGAUUAUCUUGUGGUGAAACACUAUUCUGCUUAAAUGGUUGUGUUUUGAUCUGUGCUGUUUUGCUGUUAUGCCCUCUUUUAUCUCAAUCUCCACUCCAUUAUUUACUUUUUUAUUUUUAUCCUUUUAAUUAAGGGAAAAAUAAAUAAAAAUAGCAGGAUAUAUUAUAGUAACCCACUUUGACUUUCCAUUAUCUUGAUUUGAAGCCCUGUGUUGCUCUCACCAUCUUGUUUUUGACUGAUGUUCCUCUAUUCUGUUUUGCUGGAUAGUACCAGGUUCAAAAGUUUAGGCAACAGCUGUGAAGAUAGUGAGAUUCAUUAUGACGCCCAUUCUCGUUGACUUUUAUCUACUUUUGAAGACCUACAAUGUAUCCAAUGUUUUGGUUUUGUUGGUUUUGUUCUUUAUUGUUUUGUUCAAUUUUAUUAUAACUGAUGAUAUAGGCAAUUCUAUUAGAGAUAGCGGGAGGCAUUAUGGUAACCAUUAUUGAUCACCUUGUAUUAUGCUUUUACAUUAUCUAUUAUGUCCACCCUUUUGAUUUGAUUGACUCUGUUCUGUUAAGUCACAUUUGGUUCUACUCCCUUCCACAAAAGUAGUAAGAACUGUGGGAGCAACAAAACCCAAAAUGUGUAAUUGUCAUUGUACAAAAGAGGAAAAGAAAGGGCUCUAAAUGAUAUAACUGCAGGUAUAUUUAAGUGUAUAAGAUAGAAAAUGAUAUCACUGAGUUUUAUUGGAUCAUUGAACAGAACUUUUGCAGUAUCAUUGUUGGAAUGUCCACUUUACAAGCUUUAAUUUUGUGACUUGAACAAUUAUUUCUAAGAUGACAAUAUGUAAUCCAUUAACUAGUGAUUUCCUACUGUUUAUUUUUUUCUGUAAAUCUGUAUAACUGGUAUCCUUUCUCUGCUUUUUUUUCUCCUUAAAUAAAUUAAAAAAAAAAAAAGAAGAAGAUCCGAAGUCUCAAAUUCUCCAAGCCCUGGAACCUUAAGGGCAAACACCAUGCCACAAGGAGACCCCACAGAUGACUCCCUGUGACCCUCACAGUCAAAGCACAGGUGUGUGGCAGCUUCUCCCCAGAUGCCUGCUGGCCUGAAGCCUGAAGCCUGAAGCCCACUGUCUCCAGCCCCAACAGCAUGCUGGCGAGGGUCAGAGCUGGGUGCAAGGAGGGGGCUGAGCUGGGGCCACUGGACUCACUUGAGGACCAGGAGAUGGAGCUAAAGCGUUAGGUUCUAUUUAUGAAGGAGACAACUGUUUCUGGGAAUUAUGUCCAGUUUCAUUUCCACAUGGGAUAGAUGAAAAGGUGACCCCCAAUGCCUUUUUAGUAGAGAUUUCCUGGAUAGAAACAUACCUCCAGCCCUGCCCCAAUUACAUGUAUGAAGGCUUUUAAAAAAACAAUAACAUAUCAUCGCUGUAAAACAAAGUAAACUGAAGUUCCGGGAAGCAGUGGAAAUUAACCUGAGAACAGCAGUGACCUAUACAUCCUUUGACUACGCCAAGGAGAAUAAAGAGCUGUUUGCAGAGAAUCACUGUCCCAUUCGUUCAACAUCCAUAGCACUGUCAUCUCAGUUGAAACUCCUAAUGUUAUGGCUUGUGUCUAGAUGCCCCUCCAAAGCCUCCUGCAGUCAUAGGUGGGGCAUUGUCAGAGGUGACCAGAUCUAGAGUGUGUGAUAGGUGCAGUGAUAGGAUUAAGGGUGGGUGGUUACUAAAUCAGCCCACUGAUUGGUUUGGUCCUAAUCCUGGCAGCAUGGAUACAGAAAUAAACUCAUCUUACCCUCUCCCUUGAUGCCCACCAAGAACUUUUCCUGUGCCUCUCCACCUUGCCUGGAGCCAGCUGAGGGUGGACUGAAACCUCUACAAACUGGGAGCUAAAUAAACCUCCCUUAUCUUGUGGGUGUUGGGUAUUUUGUCUAUCUAACAAGAGAAAUGUAAUUAACACACCUAGUAUAACCCCAUCAAGUUAGAAAAACGACAAAAAGGACAACUUUCAAAAACUCAGAAACACAAACUGGCAGAUAAAACAGAUCAGGAAGAGGAGCUUGCUCCGGGCUGGAAUUGGGUUGAUUUGGUGAAGCACUGAGGAGCACAGACCUGAAGGGGACAACUAGCCCUUGGAAUCUGAGAUAAGGGAAGAGUGUCCCUUAGAAAGUAAACUGGUUUCCACAGCUUUCAUUACCAUUUUCUGGUACUGAGGUGUUUUUUUUUUUUUUUUUUUUAGUAUAUAUAGAAUAUGGUUUUUGUAUGUUGCUUACACAAUAGAUGUAAGCAGAAAGUUCAUGAAGAGAUCUGGUCAAUUAAAUUAUUUUUACAAAACUGCCUUAAUAGAUGGUGGAAAUGUUACUGUUCAGUAUGCAGUAAUUUAUGAAGCCUGUUAAGCUCUGUAAAUGUACAAACAUAAGGAGUAAUCAGUUUAUUUAUAUGAACUUACUCUAGUGGAUGUGGUGGCUUUUCAAGGAGAAUGAGAACGUGUAGACAGGUACUUCAUAGCAUGAUCCACAUUAAUAGGUUUGUACCCCAAAGUCUUUAUCUUUUCUCUUACUUAACUAGAAGCAGAAUUACAUCAAAGAAAUUUAAAUAGCAGUGUUUGCACUUUAUUUCAUGCUCUUUGUAGUUACUUUUUAUUUUUCAACAAUGAACUCCUUUCAUUUAAAAAAACUGACAACUGUUUAGACUUUUGAUUUGGGUCACAAUGUUUUUUGUUUUGUUUUGUUUUUUUGUCUUUUUGAGACAGGGUCUCACUAUGCAGUUGAGAACCUUGAACUCACUUUGUAGCCCAAACAGCCCUCAAACAUACAGUGAUCCUCCUGCCUCAGCCUCCUGAGUUCUAGGAUUAUAGGCGAGCACCACCAUGUUUGGCUGGGUCAAGGUGUUUGAUCAUGAGAGCUUUCAAUCAUGUGAGUAAUAGGUGAGUAUAAAAGCCAAUCUAGGGGGCUGGGGAUUUAGCUCAGCAGCAUAAGCACAUGCCUUGCAAGCAGGCAGUUGUGAGUUUGAUCCCUGGUAUCGAUUAAAAAAAAAAAAAGAAAAAGCCAAUCUGUCAGAUACGUUAGAAGACUUUUGCAUAAAGCAAGGUGUGGUGGUGCAAUCUUGUAAUCAAAGCACUCUGGAAGUUGAGGUAGAAUUAUACAUUGGAGGCCAGCCUGGGAUACAUAGGGCGAACUUGUCUCAAAAACAAAACAAAAGACAGAGAAGGAGAGAAAAGAAAAAAUUGCAUCAAUAUUAUUUAAACAUUUCAUUUUGCACUCAGGAGGCUGAGGCAGGAGGAUUGCCGUGAGUUCAACGCCAGGCUGGGCUACAUAGUGAUUUCAAGGCCAGCCUGAAUAAUAUAGCCAGAUCUUGUCUCAACACCCCCCAAAAUGUAAGUAAAUAAAUAGUAGAAUGAAAAAAUGUUUUCUUUGCUGCAUAUACUAGUAUGGGAGUAAGUGAUACCUUAAUAAUUUGUAUAUUGUUGGAAACAGUGAUUUUCAUAAAAUUUUA